GUCGGCUGUAAACCCCUAUCGGACCAUCAAACAGACUCUAGAGAUAAGGGAACGGCUAUUUCACUUCAAGGGGGAGGAUAUGUUUUUUUCCUGUGAACAAAUAUUUUGGUCCCUAAUUUGAUGAAAAGAAUAUAUGUUUAAGCAGAGCACAAAAAAACAUACCCCUUUUGAAUUUAAUGGUUACUUCCUAAAGGGAAACAGGCAGCAGUAAAGACAACAUAGAAAACAAUAAGGUGCUAAAAUAUAAAGAAAAGAAAUAAAAGGAGUGCGGAAUUAUAAAGAAAAUAG
rnacentral:lncRNA from 1 species